GAAAGGAAAGGGGAGGCAAUUUAUAAAAUUUUAGAACCAUUAGAUUCGCGCUAAGUGGCGAAAUCCGAUGAAGAGAAAAGAGAAGAAAACACUCAGCACAAAAAAUGAGGGAGGAAUAACUCCUCUACCGGCGGUGGCGGCGUGCCGCCCAAGGCAACGAUGGUGCACUGCUCGAGGUGGCAGUGCUCCGGUCGGUGCAUGCAAGGGCUAGCCUGCACGCGUGCAAGCCUAAUGCGCGGAUAGCGUGCGCACAGUAUACGACGCCUGUUCGAGCACGAGGUGACACGCGGAUGGCCUGCCUGUAUGCAACAAGACGCGCGCGCAGGUCCUGACCCCACGCCGUGG
rnacentral:lncRNA from 1 species